UAAAUAACUAAAAUAUUUUUAUAUA
rnacentral:rRNA from 1 species